CAAGUACUUCCUUCGUCUGAAAAUACUUGUUAAAGGAAUGGAUGUAUCUAGACGUAUUUUAGUUUUAGAAACAUCCAUUUUUAUGCAUUUCUUCGACAAAUAUUUUCGGACGGAGAGGAUAUAUA
rfam:Triticum urartu cultivar G1812 contig507494, whole genome shotgun sequence.